CAGCCGCCGCGGUAAUACGUAGGGUCCGAGCGUUGUCCGGAAUUACUGGGCGUAAAGAGCUCGUAGGUGGUUUGUCGCGUUGUUCGUGAAAACUCACAACUCAAUUGUGGGCGUGCGGGCGAUACGGGCAGACUGGAGUACUGCAGGGGAGACUGGAAUUCCUGGUGUAGCGGUGGAAUGCGCAGAUAUCAGGAGGAACACCGGUGGCGAAGGCGGGUCUCUGGGCAGUAACUGACGCUGAGGAGCGAAAGCGUGGGGAGCGAACAGGAUUAGAUACCCGCGUAGUCCCUGUCUCUUAUAC
rnacentral:rRNA from 1 species